UGGGAUUCCCUGGAAGCACCUUAGAGGCACCUUGGGGAUGUGGAAGGGGAGAGAUGUCACCACGUGGAGCGGCUGAGCCGGGUUGUCGCCUCCGCCUGUUCCGGAUGAUGAAUUGGUCCUGUUUGAGGCCGAUCCGCUCGUUUGAGCACGGGUGCCGCUUUUCCAGGACUCCGCGCGAAAUGAGGGAGCCCCGGCCAUUUUUCAUCCCCGGAGAGACGAGCGACAUGGGGAAUAAAUUUUCCUGCUU